AGAGUUUGAUCAUGGCUCAGAUUGAACGCUGGCGGCAGGCUUAACACAUGUAAGUCGAGCGGGGAAGGGUAGCUUGCUACCUGACCUAGCGGCGGACGGGUGAGUAAUGCUUAGGAAUCUGCCUAUUAGUGGGGGACAACAUUCCGAAAGGAAUGCUAAUACCGCAUACGCCCUACGGGGGAAAGCAGGGGAUCUUCGGACCUUGCGCUAAUAGAUGAGCCUAAGUCAGAUUAGCUAGUUGGUGGGGUAAAGGCCUACCAAGGCGACGAUCUGUAGCGGGUCUGAGAGGAUGAUCCGCCACACUGGGACUGAGACACGGCCCAGACUCCUACGGGAGGCAGCAGUGGGGAAUAUUGGACAAUGGGCGAAAGCCUGAUCCAGCCAUGCCGCGUGUGUGAAGAAGGCCUUUUGGUUGUAAAGCACUUUAAGCGAGGAGGAGGCUACUGAGAUUAAUACUCUUGGAUAGUGGACGUUACUCGCAGAAUAAGCACCGGCUAACUCUGUGCCAGCAGCCGCGGUAAUACAGAGGGUGCGAGCGUUAAUCGGAUUUACUGGGCGUAAAGCGUGCGUAGGCGGCUUUUUAAGUCGGAUGUGAAAUCCCUGAGCUUAACUUAGGAAUUGCAUUCGAUACUGGGAAGCUAGAGUAUGGGAGAGGAUGGUAGAAUUCCAGGUGUAGCGGUGAAAUGCGUAGAGAUCUGGAGGAAUACCGAUGGCGAAGGCAGCCAUCUGGCCUAAUACUGACGCUGAGGUACGAAAGCAUGGGGAGCAAACAGGAUUAGAUACCCUGGUAGUCCAUGCCGUAAACGAUGUCUACUAGCCGUUGGGGCCUUUGAGGCUUUAGUGGCGCAGCUAACGCGAUAAGUAGACCGCCUGGGGAGUACGGUCGCAAGACUAAAACUCAAAUGAAUUGACGGGGGCCCGCACAAGCGGUGGAGCAUGUGGUUUAAUUCGAUGCAACGCGAAGAACCUUACCUGGUCUUGACAUAGUAAGAACUUUCCAGAGAUGGAUUGGUGCCUUCGGGAACUUACAUACAGGUGCUGCAUGCUGUCGUCAGCUCGUGUCGUGAAAUGUUUGGGUUUAAGUCGCA
rnacentral:rRNA from 1 species